AGCGUUGUUCGGAAUUACUGGGCGUAAAGCGCGUGUAGGCGGUUGUCCCAGUCGGGUGUGAAAGCCUUGAGCUCAACUCAAGAAAUGCACUCGGUACUGGGCGACUAGAGGACCGGAGAGGAGAGUGGAAUUCCCAGUGUAGUGGUGAAAUACGUAGAGAUUGGGAAGAACACCAGUGGCGAAGGCGGCUAUCUGGACGGUUUCUGACGCUAAGACGCGAAAGCGUGGGGAGCAAACAGG
rnacentral:rRNA from 1 species